CAGCAGCCGCGGUAACACGUAGGUGGCGAGCGUUGUCCGGAAUUAUUGGGCGUAAAGGGAGCGCAGGCGGACAUAUAAGUCCAUCUUAAAAGUGCGGGGCUCAACCCCGUGAGGGGAUGGAAACUGUAUGCCUUGAGUGCAGGAGAGGAAAGCGGAAUUCCCAGUGUAGCGGUGAAAUGCGUAGAUAUUGGGAGGAACACCAGUGGCGAAGGCGGCUUUCUGGACUGUAACUGACGCUGAGGCUCGAAAGCCAGGGGAGCGAACGGGAUUAGAUACCCCAGUAGUCCCUGUCUCUUAUACA
rnacentral:rRNA from 1 species